rnacentral:rRNA from 1 species
UACGUAGGGGGCAAGCGUUGUCCGGAUUUAUUGAGCGUAAAGAGCGUGUGGGCGGCUAGGUAGGUCCGUUGUGAAAACUCGAGGCUCAACCUCGAGACGCCGAUGGAAACCAUCUGGCUAGAGUCCGGAAGAGGAGAGUGGAAUUCCUGGUGUAGCGGUGAAAUGCGCAGAUAUCAGGAAGAACACCCGUGGCUAAGGCGGCUCUCUAGUACGGUACUGACGCUGAGACGCGAAAGCGUGGGGAGCGAACAGG